rnacentral:rRNA from 1 species
CGUGCAGGCGGUUUGGUAAGUCGGACGUGAAAGCUCCUGGCUCAACUGGGAGAGGUCGUUCGAAACUGCCAGACUUGAGGACGGUAGAGGAGAGUGGAAUUCCGGGUGUAGUGGUGAAAUGCGUAGAUAUCCGGAGGAACACCAGUGGCGAAGGCGGCUCUCUGGGCCGUACCUGACGCUAAGACGCGAAAGCUAGGGUAGCAAACAGGAUUAGAUACCCUGGUAGUCC